AGAGUUUGAUCCUGGCUCAGAUUGAACGCUGGCGGCAUGCCUAACACAUGCAAGUCGAACGGUAACGAUGGAAGCUUGCUUCCAGGCGACGAGUGGCGGACGGGUGAGUAAUGCUUGGGAAUUUGCCUAGUAGUGGGGGACAACACGGGGAAACUCGUGCUAAUACCGCAUACGCCCUACGGGGGAAAGCGGGGGAUCUUCGGACCUCGCGCUAUUAGAUGAGCCCAAGUCGGAUUAGCUUGUUGGUGAGGUAAUGGCUCACCAAGGCCACGAUCCGUAGCUGGUCUGAGAGGACGAUCAGCCACACUGGGACUGAGACACGGCCCAGACUCCUACGGGAGGCAGCAGUGGGGAAUAUUGCACAAUGGGCGCAAGCCUGAUGCAGCAAUGCCGCGUGUGUGAAGAAGGCCUGCGGGUUGUAAAGCACUUUCAGUAGGGAAGAAAAGCUCAAGGUUAAUAACCAUGAGUCUUGACAUUAACUACAGAAGAAGCACCGGCUAACUCCGUGCCAGCAGCCGCGGUAAUACGGAGGGUGCGAGCGUUAAUCGGAAUUACUGGGCGUAAAGCGCGCGUAGGCGGCUAGGUCAGUCGGAUGUGAAAGCCCUGGGCUUAACCUGGGAACUGCAUUCGAUACUGCCUAGCUAGAGUAUGGUAGAGGGAAGCGGAAUUCCGGGUGUAGCGGUGAAAUGCGUAGAUAUC
rnacentral:rRNA from 1 species